GCCCCUGUGGCCUAAUGGAGAAGGCAUCGGUCUCCUAAACCGAGGAUUGCGGGUUCGAGUCCCGCCAGGGGUG
rnacentral:tRNA from 1 species